UGAUUGGCGGCGCUGCUGCGUGAGGCGGGACUUCCUCCCCACACCCCGAGACCGGAAGUGGGUCGAUUUUCCGCCGGAAGGAGAGAGAAGUUGCGACCGGGAGCCAGACACCUGAUGCUGGUAUAUGAGUUCCCUGAAUGCAGAGAGCAGUUGUCCCCAUGUUCUGAGCAUUGAGAGACUCAGAGCCACAACCAUGCCUUUGAUAUGCAUAAUUCAAGGGGAGCAGACAAGCCAGUGGUUGCAGUAUCAUCGCUCGAGUGUUCUGUAAGCGAUUUAUCAGCAGGUUGAGCUGAACAUGGACAUGAGGGAACCAACCAUUCCAGCAGAUCUGUUCUACACAGUGCUCGGCUACAGAAGCCUUGGUCAUAGGAACUAUUAGCCACACAGGCUGAAAAUGGAAUUGGCCUUCCUCAGCAGCUGGAAACUUGGAAUGUGGGAGCGGAGCAUAAAUAAAAAACCAACCAGUGGUUAAGAUGCACUCGUGGAGCCAGAACUGCCCGGGUUGGCAGCCACGUUCUAAUCACCCAUACUGCAUAGAUUAUGCAGCUGCCUGGCAGUGGCUUUUGCUCACACUGUAUAGGACAGUA